UGACCAUGAAAAAACAAUGCUUGAAAAAGAAAAUGAGGAUUUCAAAGAAGAGAUUUCUGAACUGCACAAUAAGAUUUUUCAUCUCGAAAGUGCUCUGAAGCGCUCUGAAAAAGAAAAUUGUUUAUUAGAUAAGCAAGUUCAAAGAAUGCAAUUAAAACUGGAAACUAAUGAGCGAACUAUUCAAAAGUUAAUUGAAAUUCAAGACCAAA